GACGAACGCUGGCGGCGUGCUUAACACAUGCAAGUCGAACGGAAAGGCCCUGCUUGCAGGGUACUCGAGUGGCGAACGGGUGAGUAACACGUGGGUGAUCUGCCCUGCACUUCGGGAUAAGCCUGGGAAACUGGGUCUAAUACCGGAUAGGAGCCAUUUUUAGUGUGAUGGUUGGAAAGUUUUUUCGGUGUAGGAUGAGCUCGCGGCCUAUCAGCUUGUUGGUGGGGUAAUGGCCUACCAAGGCGGCGACGGGUAGCCGGCCUGAGAGGGUGGACGGCCACAUUGGGACUGAGAUACGGCCCAGACUCCUACGGGAGGCAGCAGUGGGGAAUAUUGCACAAUGGGCAAGCCUGAUGCAGCGACGCCGCGUGGGGGAUGACGGCCUUCGGGUUGUAAACUCCUUUCGCUAGGGACGAAGCUUUUUGUGGCGGUACCUAGAUAAGAAGCACCGGCUAACUACGUG
rnacentral:rRNA from 1 species